UAUUGGACAAUGGGGGCAACCCUGAUCCAGCCAUGCCGCGUGAGUGAAGAAGGCCCUCGGGUUGUAAAGCUCUUUUGUCCGGAAAGAAAAGCUUCGGGUUAAUACCCCGGGGUUCUGACGGUACCGGAAGAAUAAGCACCGGCUAACUUCGUGCCAGCAGCCGCGGUAAUACGAAGGGUGCAAGCGUUACUCGGAAUUACUGGGCGGAAAGCGUGCGUAGGUGGUUGUUUAAGUCUGAUGUGAAAGCCCUGGGCUCAACCUGGGAAUGGCAUUGGAAACUGGGCAGCUAGAGUGCGGUAGAGGGUAGUGGAAUUCCCGGUGUAGCAGUGAAAUGCGUAGAGAUCGGGAGGAACAUCUGUGGCGAAGGCGACUGCCUGGACCAGCACUGACACUGAGGCACGAAAGCGUGGGGAGCGAACA
rnacentral:rRNA from 1 species